CCUACGGGAGGCAGCAGUGGGGAAUAUUGGGCAAUGGGCGCAAGCCUGACCCAGCAACGCCGCGUGAAGGAAGAAGGCCCUCGGGUUGUAAACUUCUUUUAUUCGGGACGAAACAAAUGACGGUACCGAAUGAAUAAGCCACGGCUAACUACGGGCCAGCAGCCGCGGUAAUACGUAGGUGGCAAGCUUUAUCCGGAUUUACGUGGUGUAAAGGGCGUGUAGGCGGGAGCGCAAGACAGAAGUGAAAUGCCAGGGCUCAACCCUGGAACUGCGUUUGAAACUGUUCUGCUUGAGUGAAGGAGAGGCAGGCGGAAUUCCGGGUGUAGCGGUGACAUGCGUAGAUAUACGGAGGAACACCGGUGGCGAAGGCGGCCUGCUGGACAUUAACUGACGCUGAGGCGCGAAAGCGUGGGGAGCAAACAGGAUUAGAUACCCUUGUAGUC
rnacentral:rRNA from 1 species